GUCCGUGGAAUCUGUGGGACCUAACAGGGUCGUGGAGGCAACUUUCAGGUUCCGGAUAUAUGACCAGUUGUAUGGAAAGCACAAUCAACAGCAACCAGCGAGCCACGUUUUUGAGAUUGCAAGCAGGUGCUGCCGGACCCCAUGCAUAGUUCCUCUCGCAGCGCUCAAGGACAAAUCCUCUGGAUUGCUCGUCAACAACACCUGUGUUUUCGGUGUUGAGCUGAUCAAAGUUGUAGCUGCUAAAGCUAAUCAUAAGUCAGAGGUGUUGAAGAUUAACAGCGUUUGCAAUGCCCCGCAAGUCUACACGUGGAACAUUGAGGACUUCUUCGCGUUGAAGGGCCCGAGCUACUCUCCUGAGUUUGAGCUCUGUGGACACAAAUGGUUCAUCACUAUCAAACCAUCCGAUGAGAAUGGGACCUAUAUCUCCUUGUUCCUGACCAUGAAGGUGCCG